UGGGGAAUAUUGGACAAUGGGCGCAAGCCUGAUCCAGCCAUGCCGCGUGAGUGAAGAAGGCCUUAGGGUUGUAAAGCUCUUUCACCCGUGACGAUGAUGACGGUAGCGGGAGAAGAAGCCCCGGCUAACUCCGUGCCAGCAGCCGCGGUAAUACGGAGGGGGCGAGCGUUGUUCGGAAUUACUGGGCGUAAAGGGCGCGUAGGCGGGCUAGCAAGUCAGGGGUGAAAGUCCUGGGCUCAACCUGGGGACUGCCUUUGAAACUGUUAGUCUAGAGUCCGGGAGAGGAUGGCGGAAUUCCCAGUGUAGAGGUGAAAUUCGUAGAUAUUGGGAAGAACACCGGUGGCGAAGGCGGCCAUCUGGACCGGCACUGACGCUGAGGCGCGAAAGCGUGGGGAGCAAACAGGAUUAGAUACCCCCGUAGUCC
rnacentral:rRNA from 1 species